rnacentral:lncRNA from 1 species
ACUUCAGUGAUUUAUUGAGCAGGGGAUCUCAUGAGUUCAAAACAAAGGGUCCUGGAGCAACACCUCAAAAUGCAUAGCAGACAACAGGUAAGACAUAGCAGCAACCUUUGACUUAGAGGAGAAGGAGGUUACCAUUUAUAGGAGGAAUUGAAGUCAGGUUGGCUCAUCAGUUACCAGGGAAACCAGCAGCUGAGACCCAUGCCUUAUAGCCCCUCAGGUUAACAACCAUUAUGAGGGCAAAUAUUCCUCUUUAAUAAACUACCAGGUAGAGCUGUUCUGGCCUAAGGAUUAGCUGGGGCAGGGGUGAGCACAGUCACGUAGGUGAGGUGUAGGUGUAACAGGGAUUGGUCGAUAGGGGACAUACAGACAGCAAGAGAACAGUCAUCUUGAGGAGCCAUCCACCACCAUUCACCACCGUUCUACCUUCUUUCUCUAUGAAUUCAGCUAUUGCUGGUGCCUCAUGGUAUCUUCCUGACCCAGGGACUGAACCUCCAUCUCCUGCAUUGGCAGCACCACAUGGUAAGUCCCUGGUUUCCUUUAAUAAAGGGUAUAUUCAGAGACCAAUAUUUGGGCACUCAGUGUUUUAAUUGCUAAUGGAGUAUAGAUGCUUUUAGAUCAUUCACUC